rnacentral:rRNA from 1 species
AAACCUGAGAAACUCAAAAAAUCGAAUGGGGAGAAUCAUCGUCAGCGAAUCCCGGCUGAUCAGCUGCCCGGCGGUACUCGCACGGUAUAGAGCCGCAAUCAUUAAGUUGCGUCUGGGCUGCCGCAAGCUUGGCCAGUGAUUAUCUACGGAUGUACGGACCCGGCGCCGUCUGGCUGGCUGGCUGUUGGUCGGCGGUGUACUGGGACCGGCUUGAAUUACCGGUCGGCGACGCUACUGCUUUGGGUACUUUCAGGACUCGUCUUGAAACACGGACCAAGGAAUCUAAAAUGUGCGCGAGUCAUUCGGAUCUCGAAGCCUAAAGGCGCAAUGAAUGUGAAGGUCGGCCUGGCGCCGACCGCGGGAGGAUGGUCCGCGUUACGAUGCGGUCCCGCACUCCCGGGGCGUCUCGUUCUCAU